rnacentral:rRNA from 1 species
AGGGAGCUUGCUNCCGGAAUGUAGCGGCGGACGGGUGAGUAACACGUGGGUAACCUGCCUGUAAGACUGGGAUAACUCCGGGAAACCGGAGCUAAUACCGGAUAGUUCCUUGAACCGCAUGGUUCAAGGAUGAAAGACGGUUUCGGCUGUCACUUACAGAUGGACCCGCGGCGCAUAGCUAGUUGGUGAGGUAACGGCUCACCAAGGCGACGAUGCGUAGCCGACCUGAGAGGGUGAUCGGCCACACUGGGACUGAGACACGGCCCAGACUCUACGGGAGGCAGCAGUAGGGAAUCUUCCGCAAUGGACGAAAGUCUGACGGAGCAACGCCGCGUGAGUGAUGAAGGUUUCGGAUCGUAAAGCUCUGUUGUUAGGGAAGAACAAGUGCAAGAGUAACUGCUUGCACCUUGACGGUACCUAACCAGAAAGCCACGGCUAACUACGUGCCAGCAGCCGCGGUAAUACGUAGGUGGCAAGCGUUGUCCGGAAUUAUUGGGCGUAAAGGGCUCGCAGGCGGUUUCUUAAGUCUGAUGUGAAAGCCCCCGGCUCAACCGGGGAGGGUCAUUGGAAACUGGGAAACUUGAGUGCAGAAGAGGAGAGUGGAAUUCCACGUGUAGCGGUGAAAUGCGUAGAGAUGUGGAGGAACACCAGUGGCGAAGGCGACUCUCUGGUCUGUAACUGACGCUGAGGAGCGAAAGCGUGGGGAGCGAACAGGAUUAGAUACCCUGGUAGUCCACGCCGUAAACGAUGAGUGCUAAGUGUUAGGGGGUUUCCGCCCCUUAGUGCUGCAGCUAACGCAUUAAGCACUCCGCCUGGGGAGUACGGUCGCAAGACUGAAACUCAAAGGAAUUGACGGGGGCCCGCACAAGCGGUGGAGCAUGUGGUUUAAUUCGAAGCAACGCGAAGAACCUUACCAGGUCUUGACAUCCUCUGACAACCCUAGAGAUAGGGCUUUCCCUUCGGGGACAGAG